rnacentral:rRNA from 1 species
CCUACGGGAGGCAGCAGUGGGGAAUAUUGCACAAUGGGGGGAACCCUGAUGCAGCAACACCGCGUGGGGGAAGAAGUCCCCCUGUAUGUAAAGCUCCUUUAGCAGGGAAGAAAACCACGGUACCUGUCCAAGCAUGCCCGGCUAACUCGGUUCCAGCACCGGCGGCAACAUGCAGGGGGCAAGGGUUAUCCGGAUUUACUGGGUGUAAAGGGAGUGUAGACGGCAAGGCAAGUUCGGAGUGAAAGCCCGUGGCCCAACCACGGGACGGCCUUGGAUACUGUGGUGCUGGAGAGCAGGAGGGGUAGGCGGAAUGCCUGGUGUAGCGGUGAAAUGCGUAGAUAUUAGGCAGAACACCGGUGGCGAAGGCAGCUUACUGGACUGUAACUGACGUUGAGGCUCGAAAGCGUGGGGAGCAAACAGGAUUAGAUACCCGUGUAGUC